rnacentral:rRNA from 1 species
AUGUUCCGCAACCAGUACGACACCGAUGUCACCACCUGGAGCCCGCAGGGGCGGCUGUUCCAGGUGGAGUACGCCAUGGAGGCGGUGAAGCAGGGCUCGGCCUGCGUCGGCCUCCGCUCCGCCACCCACGCCGUCCUCGCCGCCGCCAACAAGUCCGCCAACGAGCUCUCCUCCCACCAGCGCAAGGUCUUCCGCGUCGCCGACCACGCCGGGGUCGCGCUCGCCGGCCUCACCGCCGACGGCCGCGUCCUCUCCCGCUUCCUCCGCAACGAGUGCAUCAACCACGCCUUCGUCUACGACGCGCCGCUCCCCGUCUCCAGGCUCGCGCUCCGCCUCGCCGACAAGGCGCAGGUUUGCACACAGCGUUCAUGGAAGAGGCCCUAUGGUGUCGGUCUCCUUGUUGCGGGUCUAGAUGAGUCUGGAGCCCAUCUCUACUACAACUGCCCCAGUGGGAACUACUUUGAGUACCAGGCAUUCGCCAUUGGCUCCCGCUCCCAGGCAGCGAAGACUUACCUCGAACGCAGAUUCGAGAAAUUCAACGCCUACACCCCGGACGAGCUCAUCAAGGAUGCGCUCUCAGCCAUAAAGGAGACCCUCCAAGGUGAGAAGCUGACCAGCUCCAACUGCACCAUUGCCAUUGUCGGCAGAACGGAGGAUGGCACCGUCGAGCCCUUCUCCAUGAUUGACUCCAAGAGGAUCCAGGAAAUCAUCGACUCCAUGGAGGCCGCCGAUGAGGCGCCAGCGGCCGACGCCCCUGCUGAAUCAAGCUCGAUGCAGGAGGACAGGGGCGAUGCGCCUGCGGCAGGGGAUGCCCCAGCAGCGGAUGAGCCGGCAGCACCGGACGCACCGGCGCCCAUGGACAUCUAG